CGCCUCUUGAUAAAUUAUAAGAGGUCCAGCCUGCCCAGUGAAAAAUUUAACGGCCGCGGUACCCUGACCGUGCGAAGGUAGCAUAAUCACUUGUUCUUUAAAUAAGGACUAGUAUCAACGGCAUCACGAGGGUUACACUGUCUCCUUUCUCCAAUCAGUGAAACUGAUCUUCCCGUGAAGAAGCGGGAAUAUAACCAUAAGACGAGAAGACCCCAUGGAGCUUUAAAUUUUAUAGCAACUCAGUCAAAUAAACCCUUAAAAUCCACAGAGCCAUGCAUGCCAAUUUUAGGUUGGGGUGACCGCGGAGUAAAAAUUAACCUCCACGACGAAAAGAACUAGAUCUUUAUCUAAGAGUUACAACUCUAAGAAUUAGAAUACUAACGACAAUGACCCGAUAAUCGAUCAACGGACUAAGUUACCCUGGGGAUAACAGCGCAAUCUACUUCGAGAGCUCAUAUCGACAAGUAGGCUUACGACCUCGAUGUUGGAUCAGGGUAUCCCAGUGGUGCAGCCGCUACUAAUGGUUCGUUUGUUCAACGAUUAAAACCCU
rnacentral:rRNA from 1 species